CUGUAAGCCUGUGAAGGUGUACUGUGAGGUAUGCUGGAGGUAUCAGAAGUGCGAAUGCUGACAUAAGUAACGAUAAAGCGGGUGAAAAGCCCGCUCGCCGGAAGACCAAGGGUUCCUGUCCAACGUUAAUCGGGGCAGGGUGAGUCGACCCCUAAGGCGAGGCCGAAAGGCGUAGUCGAUGGGAAACAGGUUAAUAUUCCUGUACUUGGUGUUACUGCGAAGGGGGGACGGAGAAGGCUAUGUUGGCCGGGCGACGGUUGUCCCGGUUUAAGCGUGUAGGCUGGUUUUCCAGGCAAAUCCGGAAAAUCAAGGCUGAGGCGUGAUGACGAGGCACUACGGUGCUGAAGCAACAAAUGCCCUGCUUCCAGGAAAAGCCUCUAAGCAUCAGGUAACAUCAAAUCGUACCCCAAACCGACACAGGUGGUCAGGUAGAGAAUACCAAGGCGCUUGAGAGAACUCGGGUGAAGGAACUAGGCAAAAUGGUGCCGUAACU
rnacentral:rRNA from 3 species